rnacentral:rRNA from 1 species
UGGGGAAUAUUGCACAAUGGGCGCAAGCCUGAUGCAGCCAUGCCGCGUGUAUGAAGAAGGCCUUCGGGUUGUAAAGUACUUUCAGUCGGGAGGAAGGUGGUAAGGUUAAUAACCUUAUCAAUUGACGUUACCGACAGAAGAACCACCGGCUAACUCCGUGCAAGAAGCCGCGGUAAUACGGAGGGUGCAAGCGUUAAUCGGAAUUACUGGGCGUAAAGCGCACGCAGGCGGUCUGUCAAGGCGGAUGUGAAAUCCCCGGGCUCAACCUGGGAACUGCAUUCGAAACUGGCAGGCUAGAGUCUUGUAGAGGGGGGUAGAAUUCCAGGUGUAGCGGUGAAAUGCGUAGAGAUCUGGAGGAAUACCGGUGGCGAAGGCGGCCCCCUGGACAAAGACUGACGCUCAGGUGCGAAAGCGUGGGGAGCAAACAGG